AGCAGCCGCGGUAAUUCCAGCUCCAAUAGCGUAUAUUAAAGUUGUUGCAGUUAAAAAGCUCGUAGUUGAAUUUCGGGAUCAGUACGCCGGUCGUGCCUUCGGUAUGCACUGGUGUCACUGAUUCCUCCCUUCUGAAGAACCGUUAUGCCAUUUAUUUGGUGUGGCGGGGAAUCAGGACUGUUACUUUGAAAAAAUUAGAGUGUUUAAAGCAGGCUCGCGCUUGAAUACAUUAGCAUGGAAUAAUGAAAUAGGACGUUUGAUCUUAUUUUGUUGGUUUCUAGGAUCGACGUAAUGAUUAAUAGGGAUAGUUGGGGGCAUUAGUAUUCAAUUGUCAGAGGUGAAAUUCUUGGAUUUAUUGAAGACUAACUACCGCGAAAGCAUUUGCCAAGGAUGUUUUCAUUAAUCAAGAACGAAAGUUAGGGGAUCGAAGACGAUCAGAUACCGUCGUAGUCUUAACCAUAAACUAUGCCGACUAGGGAUCGGAUGAUGUUAAUUUUUUAAUGACUCAUUCGGCGCCUUA
rnacentral:rRNA from 1 species